AACGAACGCUGGCGGCAGGCUUAACACAUGCAAGUCGAGCGCCCCGCAAGGGGAGCGGCAGACGGGUGAGUAACGCGUGGGAAUCUACCCAUCUCUACGGAAUAACGCAUGGAAACGUGUGCUAAUACCGUAUACGUCCUUCGGGAGAAAGAUUUAUCGGAGAUGGAUGAGCCCGCGUUGGAUUAGCUAGUUGGUGGGGUAAAGGCCUACCAAGGCGACGAUCCAUAGCUGGGAUGAGAGGAUGAUCAGCCACACUGGGAGUGAGACACGGCCCAGACUCCUACGGGAGGCAGAGGUGGGGAAGAUUGGACAAGGGGCGCAAGCCUGAUCCAGCCAGGCCGCUGGAGUGAUGAAGGCCCUAGGGUUGUAAAGCUCUUUCACCGGUGAAGAUAAUGACGGUAACCGGAGAAGAAGCCCCGGCUAACUUCGUGCCAGCCGCCGCAGUAACAC
rnacentral:rRNA from 1 species